CAGAGGAGGCUCUUCUGAAGCUGCUGCCAGUGGUCAAAGCCUCCAACAAAGCUCUACCGAGUCAAAGAGAAGCUGUGAAGCUCUGUCCUCAGUUCUCAACUCUGAGUCCUAUAGUCUGAGAAAGCUGGACCUGAGUAACAACGACCUGCAGGAUUCAGGAGGGAAGCUCAUCUCUGCUGGACUUCAGAGUCCACAAUGUACACUAGAGACUCUCAUCGUAUUUCCUUGGAGAACGUUGGCACCA